rnacentral:rRNA from 1 species
CCUACGGGAGGCAGCAGUGAGGAAUAAUGGUCAAUGGCCGGGAGACUGAACCAGCCAAGCCGCGUGAGGGAUGAAGGUACAGAGUGUCGCAAACCUCUUUUGCCAGGGGACAAAAGGCGGGACGCGUCCGCGGCUGAGUGUACCCGAAGAAAAAGCAUCGGCUAACUCCGUGCCAGCAGCCGCGGUAAUACGGAGGAUGCGAGCGUUAUCCGGAUUUAUUGGGUUUAAAGGGUGCGCAGGCGGUCUUGUAAGUCAGCGGUGAAAGCCCGGGGCUCAACCCCGGCCCGCCGUUGAAACUGGCAGUCUCGAGUUGGAGAGAGGUAUGCGGAAUGCGCGGUGUAGCGGUGAAAUGCAGAGAUAUCGCGCAGAACUCCGAUUGCGAAGGCAGCAUGCCGGCUCCACACUGACGCUGAGGCACGAAAGCGUGGGUAUCGAACAGGAUUAGAUACCCUGGUAGUC